AUUACAAUUAAUAUUAUCAGAAACAAUGGAAGAGGCAGAGGAAAAAUUAAUAAGAUUAAAAAGAACCCCUAUUCUUCUCUACCAAUAAUGAGUAGUCUGGUAAAGCAAAAGCGGCUGCUGUUGAAAAACUUUCAAAUUAAAAGCAUUAGCAAAGGAUUGAUUAAAAAUAGAUAAUAUAUUUAGCCAAAUAGCUUUAGAGUUAACUGACGAACCCACUGAAAUUGCAGAACCUAAGAAAUAAAAGCCAUAAAAAUGUAACCAAAAAAUUGUGAAGAAACAAGCCUAAAAACAUAGUCUCGAAUGGUCAUCUACAUCAAUAGUGUCUUUGAUAUCUUCAUCACCACCGUCAUUGUUAUGUAAACCUACGAAAAUAAAUAAUGAAACUAAAAAAAACGUAUUAAUGACAGUACUAACUACAUAGUUGGCUCAAAAAAAAGGAAAAAAAUUAGUUCAUAAUCUACACCAUACUACCUUGAUCAUCUUCAUCAUCACCAUCAACUAAACGUAGAAAAAUAAGAAAAAUCAACUCAAAUUUGAAGGACAUAAAUAUGCGUAUGGAAAUAGCACAUGAAGACAGUACAUUAGCAACAAUUGCUGAUAAUCCCUUUUCAUCAUCAUCAUAAAUCUGAAACAGAAGCUGAAAUGAAUAUAUUAGCAGCUAGAUCAUCAUCAACAAAAAAUACUGUAUCCAGUGAUUCUUUGCUGGAAUGUAUCAAACAUAAUUAUAACGGUCUAUCAAAACAAUUAGCAAAUUUAAAAGGCCAUAUCUGCUGACGUUCCCAAAUCCUAUCUGAAAUAAAAAAAUAACAGUACUCAGCUGUUAGAUUUCAGUUUAUUAACAGAUCCUGAAGGAAAUCCAGUGGUCCAAAAAUUAGAAUUUCCGCUAUCAACAAUGGAAGAUAUUAUUUUGAUAAAUUCAAUGAAAAAUUAAAAGGCCAAAAAUAUAAAAAUAAAAUGAAUAAACGUAUAUACUUUUCUCUUGAUGGAAAAAAUACUUUUACCCGUAAUAUAGGAAAUAUUACUCGUGUUUAUAUAACAAGAGAUGACAUAUGUAGCAGUUAAAGCAACUUCAAAAAAAAGUUUUCAAAGAUACGACUUUUUCACUUCUAUAAAAAGUAUGUUAAUCAUUAUAUAGUGCAGAAUUACUAUCAUUGAUACCUAAUUAAUUAUUUCUUAAUUAUGUGUUAUUAUUUUAUACCCAAUAAUAAUUAUUUUUUACUAUUACUAAUUUAAUUACGUACAUGAUUAAUUUAAAUUUUGAUUCGAAAAGAAUCAAGAAAGUAUUUUCGAUAAUAAAUUCCAUCAAGCAUUGUCUGUAGUAUUAAAUAAUGCUAAUAUAAUAAUAAAGAUUGGGAUGGGUACAGGGUAUCCAGGAUCAAAAACUACCAUCUAAUGAAGAUAAAUAAAAACAACUAUUUUUUUUUGCUGUGUAAAAUAUUUUGCCAAGCAAACAAAAAGAAAAAUUAAUUCAUAAUAUUUAAUAACAAUCAUUAUUAUUUUUAACUAUAACAUAAAAAUAAUUGAUAUUUAAAGUAAAAACUAAAAUAAAUAAUACAUUUGAAAAAAUAAAUGGAAAUAAAUAUGUUUUUUUUUUCAAUCGGAUAAGUUUUAUUUCUGUUUAAGUGCACAAUAAAGUGUAUUGUUAUGUUAUGUUAAGUUAAAUAUAUAUAAUAUGUUAUUUUAAAUAUACAUAGUAUGUUAAGUAACAUAAUAUCAUUUUUUUUUUUUUUUUUGACGUGACGUCGAAAAAUCGAUUAACGCCGGCUUCGUUACGAUCAUAUGUAUGCUUGUGCCGCAUCUAUCUGAUCGGCCUAUGCAUCCGAGGAGAUGUUUUGUUAUGACGGUUGUCACGUUUAACUAUCGUCUGUAAACCAACUUUGCAGACAACCAAGUUUUUUAAUAAACAAUUUUGUCAAGACUGUACAUUCGUGUUUUAUUUAAAAGGACCGCACUUUUUUUUUUUUGAUAUCGCAGGGUAACCCAUUUACGGGUGAUAUCCAGGAUGCCAGGGUAGGCAUUCCUAGACCGUAUGUCGGCUUAGUACUUGGGGGUGCACUACCGACCGAAACCCCUGCGGGGGAGCCUUCAGCCGCUUUAAUUGGAGGGUCCCAGAUCUGCAGGCAACAGGAUCCCUCCAGCGACAGGCUGGCCUCGGCGAAAAGACCAGACUUCUCCUCCAUGGGACUGUCCGGCUCACCUCUGAACAA
rnacentral:misc_RNA from 1 species